CAACUGGGAUCACCGACGUGCGUCAUUUGGUGCAUGCUUUGCUCCCCGGCCAAGGAACAAAUUAACACUCCCGGUUUUACUUUGAGUGCCUGCUACUUCAAAUUCACUUUGCGCAAAACCUAUCUGCUGAAUGAUUUCUGGGACGUAAUAGGGUAGCACAGGAAAUGGACACCGCAGAUUUGCAAUACAAUGUCUCCUAGUACCAUGCUCAGUUUAAUCUUCUUGGUGCUAGUAGUACUCUGCAGAAAUAACCUGUGCUUUCACCUAGUACGAAUGAAUGGUUGAUCACUCCGGAGUCAUCAACUCGUCACCAAUGACACAGAAUCUGACUUUCAGCUGGACAGAGCUAGGACCAAACCCACACUGUGCAGCAAGCGUCAACUGUCAAGUUGUUCUCCACAGGCAAGCACACACAACAGUCACAAACCGGUCAAACUGAGCGUGUAAACCCAGACGAGAAAAGCCAGAUUUGGUACUUGAGAAUCUAGAGGUUGUUGCAGCCUAACGAGAUCAAACCUACUCCAUUUCCUCCCUCCAUUUUGUCAACUCCCAUCCUUCCCUCCUCACGCGGCCGCGCGCACAUUCAAAGUCCUUGCCGCACACGCCUAUCUCAUCUCGUCACCCCCACCCCGCAUGCUCCGUCUCCCCUCCAUUUAAGCAUCCUCCUAGCUUCCUCCUCUAGGCCAACACGACCACUCCAACCAACACCUGAACUGCUCGCCUGAUCUCCUCCUGGACAUUCUUCUCGACGAGCGCAAAGGCGUAAAUCGGGCACCUUCUACGAGCGGCGCCGCGCAAGGAUGACGAGCUUACGCGUGGUGGUCAUCGUGGUGGUCUUGCUCCUGUGCGCCUUUGCUCUGGCGGCAGAGUGCUCAAGGCCCUUGCGCAAUCAUGGCGGAGGUGGUGGGCUGUCGCCGGCAGUGUUCGUCGUUGCCAGAGCUGGGCCAAGCCGACGAGGAGCCGGUCACUAAUGGUUCUCUAGAGACUAGGUAGAGGAGGCCAAAGUCUGCGUCUCAAAUCUAUCAAACUUAUCAUCACACCGAUGGUUGCUCUCUUCUAGUUCCUACUUUUCCUCUUCUUCUCCGGUUGUUCCAUUUGUUCUUUCCGAUAGGAAUUGUAGGCAAUAGCUCGUGAAGUCGUGCUAUUGCCAUGUGACAAUUACUGUUAAUAUUUUUCUUUGAUGGCUACUUAGCGUCUUAACUUUUUUUCCCCGCUGUCUUGGGCUCGUCUUACAUGUAAGGUGCUAAUUAGUUUGCCUAGAAGCAAGAUUCAUGAGAUUUGACCAA